GGAGUUGGCCAGACAGUCGCCCCUUCCGCGCGGCAGGGGAGGAAAGUCCGGGCUCCAUCGGGCAGGGUGCCAGGUAAUGCCUGGGGGAUGUGAGUCCACGGAAAGUGCCACAGAAAAGAUACCGCCGGCUCCGCCGGUAAGGGUGAAAAGGUGCGGUAAGAGCGCACCGCGCUGGUGGCAACAUCAGCGGCAGGGUAAACCCCACCCGGAGCAAGACCAAAUAGAGGAACGAGCCGCCUUGAGCGGCGACGCGCGGCCCUUGCGUGUUCCUGGGUAGGUCGCUUGAGGCGCGCGGUGACGCGCGUCCUAGAUGAAUGACUGUCCUCGACAGAACCCGGCUUAUCGGCCAACUCCUUAA
rnacentral:RNase_P_RNA from 1 species